rnacentral:lncRNA from 1 species
AUCAAGUCAUAAAAUUGAAUCGUAAUAUAUACGAUGAGAUCACCCCGUGAUCUGAUAAGGUUAUGACAACUAGAAAGAAUCAAUCUGAUGAUUGAAAGGUCUACAGCAAGAUGUUGUGUAUCAGUUGUACUAUGAAAUGGUACUAUGAAAACUCAUGAAAGAGUUAUGAAUUAUGAAUACGGAUUAAAUGAAAUUCGUAUUGAGAAGGGUGUUAAGAUUAGGUGGGGAUUUCAAUUGAGGACUCAUGUCGGCAGCUGAGUUGUAUGAUUCCUUGUAUGUGCGGGGAAUUUGUACUUGGUUUUAGAAUCACUUAGCUUCCUGGUCGAUGUAGUGGUUAGGUUGACCAAUUAUUUGUAUGGGCGGGGAAUUGUCCGCUUAGCUUCCUAUAUUGAUUAGUAGCCGAGUUUGGUUUGACAACCACUUAGUUUCUGGCACUGAUAAUCAUUGAAAUGUUGUGCCGCGCUAUUGCUAUAUGUGUGUUAAGAGGGUGAUUCCUUUCUCAUGUGUAUAACAGAUAGAUAGGUUAUAGGUAGAGGAUACAAGGUUAAGUACGAGUUCUUAAAACUCAUACUUAUGUUACGUUCGUG